rnacentral:rRNA from 1 species
AUUGAACGCUGGCGGCAGGCCUAACACAUGCAAGUCGAGCGAGCGGCGGACGGGUGAGUAAUGUAUGGGGACUGCCCGAUAGAGGGGGAUAACUACUGGAAACGGUGGCUAAUACCGCAUACUAUCGGAUAAUCCAUAUGGGAUUAGCUAGUAGGUGGGGUAAAGGCUCACCUAGGCGACGAUCUCUAGCUGGUCUGAGAGGAUGAUCAGCCACACUGAGACUGAGACACGGCCCAGACUCAACCGGAGGCGGCAGUGUGGAAUGUUGCACAAUGGGAGCAAGCCUAAUGCAGCCAUGCCGCGUGUAGGAAGAAGGCAUUAGGGUUGGAAAGUACUUUCAGCGGGGUGGCGUUACCCGCUGAAGAAGCACCGGCUAACUCCGUGCCAGCAGCCGCGGUAAUUC